rnacentral:rRNA from 1 species
GAUCAUGGCUCAGGAUGAACGCUAGCGACAGGCUUAACACAUGCAAGUCGAGGGGCAGCGGGGAGUAGCAAUACUUCGCCGGCGACCGGCGCACGGGUGAGUAACACGUGUGCAACCAACCCCGUACCGGGAGAUAACCCGCGGAAACGUGGACUAACAUCCCAUGACACUCGAGAGCCGCAUGGCUCUAGAUUUAAAAUUCCGGUGGUACGGGACGGGCACGCGCGACAUUAGGUAGUUGGCGGGGUAACGG